rnacentral:rRNA from 1 species
UGGGAACGUGCCCAAAGGUACGGAACAACUCCGGGAAACUGGAGCUAGUACCGUAUGUGCCCGAAAGGGGAAAGAUUCAUCGCCUUUGGAUCGGUCCGCGUCUGAUUAGCUAGUUGGCGGGGUAAUGGCCCACCAAGGCGACGAUCAGUAGCUGGUCUGAGAGGAUGACCAGCCACACUGGGACUGAGACACGGCCCAGACUCCUACGGGAGGCAG